rnacentral:lncRNA from 1 species
CUUCAUGUUUUAAAAAGCAAAUGAGAUAAGAAGAAAUUAGUUAAUUAAUAAGAAAAAAAGAUACAUGCUAUUGUUUAAAGAUAUAACAGGAAACAUAUUGCUAUUUUUUGUGCAUAAAACAUUUUAAACAACGAAUAAAAAAAUAAACACAAAUGUGCUCUUGUUGAACCUCUUAGUCCUUUUGAAGUGAAAUUAAAUAUUAUUUGAUAUCAAACAAAUUCAUAAAUACAACAAAAGAUUACAACAGGUUUUUUGUAUAUGUUCAUCCCGAGUUUUACUGAAUAAUUACAAAUUAGUGUUUAUAAAGAUAAUGUGUUGAAUUAAAGUAAGUCUAUGUAUGUUUUGAAAAUAUCAUAUAGUUUUACUGCUUUUUGUCAUGUGUUUCUUCGUCCACUUCGCUGUGGUUUUUGUAUUUCAUUCAUUUGGGACAUGAUGUUUUCUGUGUAGUAUCUGUGAAAUGGAUAGAUGUUGGUUAAGUGUUGGCUAUAAAUAAAAAGCUAUAUUUUAGUCAUACCUGGAUGUUCUAAUUGGAGGCAUUUUCCUGUUUCACAUGAUUUAGUAGGGGUGAAGGACUCCAUAUUUGUAGUGGUUUGUUGGUCCAUUGUUGUCGAAGGUGUAGUUGGUGGUCUUCUAGUUGAAUUGAUAGUUGGUUGUGGACUUUUUAUAUCAUUGGUUGUGGUGACUAUGAAACGGAUAUUUUUAGUUGAUGGAAGUUUUGUGCAUUGUACAAAAACAUUCUUUGUCAACCCUUUAAAACGUUGCAGUGGUUCCGGUAAAGUCAGUGGUCAAAAUUACACACACUGGAACAAUUCCCACAAUCAUAAUAAACAUGCAAACUUGGUGUCUCUUCUAAAAGUGAACUCUUGCAUGAACGACGGGGGACUAUCGUAUUGGAAGUAGAAGCCAUUUGUCGUCGUUUUGGAGGCAUCACAAGAAGGCAUUUACUGAAAUGGAAAUCCAAAUUUCAUUGACUUGUAACAUACUUUUUAUGUAAUUCAUAUGGAACAUUAGAUUCUAAAAAGGUGUAGUUGAAAGUAACUAUUAUGAUUAGUAACUAACUUAUGGAGUAUAUAUUAAAUAACAUUUGGAAGAGAUUAAUAACAUACUCUAUUAUUGUUUUAACCCAUGGAUUCAUUGAACAUCAAAGAUAAGAAAUAUAUUUGCAACAACAAAAUUAGUCAUUAAUCAACUGAUAAUGGUAUAUAUUCAACUAAAGCUUGUAAAUAGGAUAAAAUUGAAAAAAUGACCAUUCUAUUAAAAUUUAUGCCUAAAGGACCAUUAUUGUAAUUGAGUAUUGAUUUAGGACCAAAUUAGUAAACUUAUGUACACAAAACAUAUUCAGUGAAAGGGUUAAAGACAACUUACCAAAUUUCUAAAGAUCCAAGGUAGAAUUGAAUAUUAGAUUCCUUAUCACAAAAUGUUUAUAAUUUUUAUAUUAACAUAAAUUCAUGAGAAACCAAAGGGUGUUAAAAUGUCUAACUUGCAGAGGCAAUGAAGAAAGAGAGAAAAAUUGAAAUUGAAUAUGGACAGAAAUCAAUAUCAAAUACAAAGGAUAGACAACAUACCUAGAAAUUCAAAUUGUAAUUGAGUGUAGUCGGUUGAAGGCGGAUACAAAGCAGAACCGUUUGUUGGCGACAAAAACGUCAAACCUAGAAUGAAAACUUAAACGUAUUGAGUUGGAAAUGAAGAAAUUUAUAUGAAAAUGGAACAGAAAAUCAAUAUGAUAUAAUUGCGAUAUAGUAUAGACGAGGUAGGCGUCUAGGAGUAUGACUAAAGAAGUAUUUCAAAAAUCAGUAAUAUUUAAAGAGAAAAUUUUAAAUUGACAUACCUUAUUAAUUGGAAUUGUUGGAUUCCUAGUUGUAAGUGCUCGAAGAUAAAGACGGUGGAAACGUCAAACACAGAUUUUGUAAUCAAAGAAAGAACGAAUUAAUAUGAUGGUGUUGGGAAUUUGCACAUAUUCACAAAGAUUAGAGAAAGUUGUUAUGUAUUGAAAGCAAGAAAGAGUUCACAAUUGACAUACCUUAUGAGUCGUAAUUGUUUGAGUCCAAAUUCUAAGUGCUUGGAGAAAAAGAUGGUGGUUGAGAGGCUCUGAAACGAAGUAGGACUAAUUAAUUUUAAACUAAAACAUGAAUAAAGUUCAAAUUUAGCACUAACUUUAUGAUGAACUCAACUAAAAACAUAGAAAGAAAAAUGAUACAUUUUACAAAUUAUAAAAAUAUAAACAAAAACAAUAGAAGGAACAAACACAAAAAGACGACACAAAAAAAGAUGUAAACAAAAAAUCAAAAUCAAAUAAAAACAUUAUAUGACCUACCGAAAUUCAAAAAUACAACAAAGAGCACAUGCUGUUUGUGGUGGUAAUUGAGCACCGACGGUCAAACCCACAAAGUCGAAGACAUCGCUCAAAAACACGGAAGGAUUAGAAGGAAUAGCAAUUGAAUUGAAAAUCACAAUAUAAUUGAUACAUUAUACGACAUACCAUAAUUCGUCAUAGAAACAAAUAGAAAUUCGUAGCCUUCAACAUACCAGAAUUUGUCACAGCAAUAGAUAGAUAUUCCUAGUCUCCUUAUAUCAUUAAUGAAAAUCCUGAAAUAAGAUUUCAGAAUUCCAGUUACCAAAUAUUAGAGUAAACAUAAAAAGUUAAAGGGGUUAUUUUGUCAUUAUUAAAGUGUUUUUAACACAUUUGACUAAUAUACAAAGAAUAAGUACUCAAUUAGAAAAUUAUUCUUCAUGAUGCAAGAAAUAUUAUGUUUUUCUUUUAUUCAACUUUUGUCGCUAACAUACAACACAAUACAAAAAAAAAAUGGUUCACUAUGGGAUUUCCAGGGUAUUUGUUGACUCACCUUCUUUUAUAAUGUCAAAAUUAGCAUUCUUUAUGAUAAAUGACCAAUGAUUCCAUCUACUAUUGUAAAAGCUUUAGUCUUUUUGAUAAAUAACCAAUAAUAUAUGGGUGGUGAGUCCUAGAUUAUACAAAUUCUUAUUUAGGGUGCAUUCUUUUGAACGCUUUUGGAAGUUUCUUCAGAUAACCGUAUCAGGGUUUUUUUUUUCAGUUUAUGGUUGUUUUACAACUUACUUUAGUUGUCAUUUGACCUUUUUGCCCCUGUGAGGCUGUGGCUUACCUGGUUUUUGUUCCAAUCUUGAUUGCAGUAUACACCUGCUGUUGAUACACUUAGAUGCAAGCCAAGUUAACUACACCAGAGAUUAAGAUAAUGACUAUUUGUAUAGAAAUUUUACUUUGUGGUGAAAAGAGUCGUUUUGUAUUUUUUUUUUUGGAAAUUGGCCAUUAACUGUUACUGUGUGUGGGUGUUUCGGGCUAAGAUAUUGAUUUAUCUGUUUGUGUAUUUUAUCCCUUCUUUCAUAGUUCUUUUUGUUGAAAAGAGUCGUUUUUUUGUUUAUAUGCAAUCAUUUUUUUUCUUUAACAUAUAGUAAUAAAUACAAUUAGUUAAACACGUUAAGCAUGCCUUUAGUCGUAUUAUGUAUCCAAUUGUAUCGAAUCAAAUCAUCCUAAUAUUACAUUAAACGCUUUUGGUCUUAAAUGAGUCAGAGGAAACUUUUGUUUAUACUUGAAUGAGUGAAUUAUUUGAGACUAAAAUCUGAUGGAAUGGCGUUUUAACAUUGAAAAGAAUUUGCUCUUCUUUUCUUCACAUGAAUUGAUGAUCAACAGCAUUUGUAUGAGAGUGUUUUGAAAUGAGAGCAUAGAUUCUUGUCAUUACAAUUUGUAAAACCUCUCUUAAUCAUUACAUAAAUAAUUUGAAAUAGCUUCGAGUUAUUGACUCUUUGUUGGAUUCACAACUUUAGGGUUAGUUGGGGUGACAAAUUAUGUUCAUUCUUACGAUGUUCUGACCAGGAAAUGGACCAGGUAGUUCUAAUUCGUUCUUAUAUUUGACUUAACUUUUCUAGAAGUCAAUGCUAAUGCUUUUUUUUUCAGAAUUCGACAAGCUGGAGAACCACCUUCACCCAGGGUUGCUCAUGCAGCUGCUGUUGUUGGAACAAUGGUUGUAUUUCAGGUAACCAUAAUUAUGAACUAAAGUGAAAAAAGGAGAUCUUUUAGCCAUUUAUCUGAUUUUUGGUUUUUGAUAAACCGAUUGUGCAUGAUUAGGGCGGCAUUGGUUGAUAAAAUAAUAAAUAUUAAGAUUCUUUCUCCAUUUCGAGGAGGUGUCUCGCAUGUGUGGACUUCCCUUUAACUUUUACUUAAUUAAGUAAUUAAGCUAUAUAGACUAUUACUAAGUUGAUAACAUCUAGGUUUUGGAACAAUUAUAUAUAUAAAAGCCUUUAUCGUUCUAUUCCUCAUGUCCUUGAUCCAUGAUCUUUGUUUGUUUUCUAAACAACUAUUUCUAUAACUUAACUUUUACAAUACUGUUAAAUUGAACUAAUAAAUUAACAAAAUAGAAGGUUAUAUAAUAAUGCAACUUUUGACAUUGUUGUUGUUUUUAUAUGUAGGAUCCUAAACAUGGACACUGGUGGCUACAAUUUGGAUCAGGGGUGCUAAUAGGAUAUUGGCCAUCUUUUUUUAUUCAGUCAUCUACAAAAAGAAGCAAGUAUGAUACAAUUUGGAGGGGAGAUAGUGAACACAAGAUCAGGGGGUAUCACACAUCAACUCAAAUUGGAAGUGGCCAUUUUGCAGAUGAAGGUUUUGGAAAAGCUUCAUACUUUAGGAAUUUACAGGUUGUUGAUUGGGACAACAGUUUGCUUCCUUUAACAAAUCUCCAUGUAUUAACUGAUAAUCCAAAUUGUUACAAUAUAAAAGCCGGAAAAAAUAAUGUUUGGGCGAAUUGUAUUUAUGAUGGAGGUCCAGGAAGGAAAGGAGGUUGUCAAUAGAGAAAAUUGCAUAGUAGUAACAAUAUUUUUAUUUACAUUAUUAAUUCUUUCCCUCUAGAGGAUUUUUGGAAUUUUUUGUCUAAAAAAGAUCCCUUUUUAAGUUUUAUUUGUAGUAGGUUGCCAUAAUUAAGCCAUGUUAAUGAGGGCUCUUGUAUAUUAGCGUUAGGGGUAGUAACUGAUUUUAUAAUGUAUUAUGGUUUGUAUUUCGUAAUGUGGUGAUUUGAUUUUUCAUUAUAACAGCAAACAAUAACCUAACAACAAAAUAAAUAGCCUACCUUGACAACAUAUAUAGGUGGAACUUUUGCACUUUAUUCUUCAAUAUGCGGACAUGCUAAAGUAAGCCUUUUACCAAAUCAACAAACUGCUGAUGAAUCACUGUGUACAUAUAAAUUCAAGCAAUCUAAUGAUGGGAAAUAUUGUCUAGAGGGUUUCGUAACUUUAAUUUCACAGAGUAGGAAAGACAAUCAAAAUCAUAUGACGGAGAACAUACCAAGAAUUGAAAUUGCAAUUGAGUGUAGAUUAUUGGAGGCGGCAACAGAAGGCGUCGUCGGAGAUGUCAAACCCAUAUUUGAAAUCCUAAUUUAUUGAUAGAGAAGCCGUAGGAGAUCUCAAAUCCACACAGUCGGAAAACAGAAAAAGAAGAGGAGUCUGAAGAUUUUGGAGAAACGUAUAAAAACGAUGAUGGAGGAAUAUUCUCUAGACGAUUUCAUAACUUCAAUUUCACAGAGUCGGAAUAUAAGAAAAAAGCAAAUUCGAGAUUGAAACAAAAUCAAUAUCGAAUAGAACAAAACAUACCCAGACAUCAAAUUUCAAUUGAUUGUGGAUGGUUGGAGGCAGCAACAACCGUUUUUUGGCAAGAAAUUGAAACUUAGACAGAAAAUCAAAAUCGAAUAGAAGAAAACAUACCCAGACUUCAAAUUUCAACUGAUUGUAGAUGGUUGGAGGCAGCAACAACCGUUUUUUGGCAAGAGAAGUUGAAAUUCUAAGUUCUUGAUUGAUAAGGUGUAUGAGAUGUCAAACCCAUAAUUCAAAUUCGGAAUUGUUGAUUGAGAAGCGUAUUCAGAAUUCUUGAUUGAGAAGCGUAUGAGAUGUCAAGAAGAGAAGUCUGAAGAAAUGGUAGAAACUUAUGGAAGCGAUCAUGGGGGUAAAAUUUUAAAAGUGUUGAUUGUUAUGGAGAAUUUGGAGAAACCUAAUGUGGCGAAACUCUAAAC